UGACCUUUUGGUGACCCGUCUUUCC
rnacentral:piRNA from 1 species